AUGGCUUUUUGGCAGCCUCUCUGUUAUAGUGUUGUUUGCAGUCUCAGUUUGAUUUGCACUGACUUCGCUAUUCAUAUUUUUUUUCCUAAAUUUCUGUGCACGUCCCUCCCUCCUCUUAUUUGCACCAACUUCAGUAAUCCUAUUAUAUUCUUGAUUGCUUGCGAGUUGAGGAACUCAACUGAGUUGAACUCUUUUAUGAACUUCUGA